UAACUACGUGCCAGCAGCCGCGGUAAUACGUAGGGUGCAAGCGUUAUCCGGAAUUAUUGGGCGUAAAGAGCUCGUAGGCGGUCUGUCGCGUCUGCUGUGAAAUCCCGAGGCUCAACCUCGGGCUUGCAGUGGGUACGGGCAGACUAGAGUGCGGUAGGGGAGAUUGGAAUUCCUGGUGUAGCGGUGGAAUGCGCAGAUAUCAGGAGGAACACCGAUGGCGAAGGCAGAUCUCUGGGCCGUAACUGACGCUGAGGAGCGAAAGGGUGGGGAGCAAACAGGCUUAGAUACCCUGGUAGUCCACCCCGUAAACGUUGGGAACUAGUUGUGGGGUCCUUUCCACGGAUUCCGUGACGCAGCUAACGCAUUAAGUUCCCCGCCUGGGGAGUACGGCCGCAAGGCUAAAACUCAAAGGAAUUGACGGGGACCCGCACAAGCGGCGGAGCAUGCGGAUUAAUUCGAUGCAACGCGAAGAACCUUACCAAGGCUUGACAUACACGAGAACGGGCCAGAAAUGGUCAACUCUUUGGACACUCGUGAACAGGUGGUGCAUGGUUGUCGUCAGCUCGUGUCGUGAGAUGUUGGGUUAAGUCCCGCAACGAGCGCAACCCUCGUUCUAUGUUGCCAGCACGUAAUGGUGGGAACUCAUGGGAUACUGCCGGGGUCAACUCGGAGGAAGGUGGGGAUGACGUCAAAUCAUCAUGCCCCUUAUGUCUUGGGCUUCACGCAUGCUACAAUGGCCGGUACAAUGGGCUGCGAUACCGUAAGGUGGAGCGAAUCCCAAAAAGCCGGUCCCAGUUCGGAUUGAGGUCUGCAACUCGACCUCAUGAAGUCGGAGUCGCUAGUAAUCGCAGAUCAGCAACGCUGCGGUGAAUACGUUCCCGGGUCUUGUACACACCGCCCGUCAAGUCAUGAAAGUCGGUAACACCUGAAGCCGGUGGCCUAACCCCUUGUGGGA
rnacentral:rRNA from 1 species